AUCGGCUAGGGGGCAAGGUCAAUGUGCAUGAUCGGCUGGGGGGGAAAAUUGGUGUACCUAAUUGGCUGGAAGAAAGGGACAAUGAAAGAGUCCCUGAUGAGGAGCCGAUGUGUCACGAACCAGAGUGGCAGCAUGCAUCACAACAUGGUGGUGUGAAGCACCCUAGGUGGUGCCCAGAAGGUUUGAUCAAGUCCCAGAAGAGAAGAGUUCAGCGUUUGCGUUAGUGGGAAUAGCAAGAAGAACAAGAAAAAUGUGCCUUAGAGAGGAAAGGAGUCAAAUCCCAAGUAUGGUGCAUCAAAAUGAAAGUCGAUAAUGUGGAUGAUAACCAUAAAUUGGCUACAGAUAUUAAC
rnacentral:lncRNA from 1 species